rnacentral:rRNA from 1 species
UACGUAGGGGGCAAGCGUUGUCCGGAUUUACUGGGCGUAAAGAGCGUGUAGGCGGCCACGCAGGUCCGUUGUGAAAACUGGAGGCUCAACCUCCAGCUGUCGACGGAAACCGUAUGGCUAGAGUCCGGAAGAGGAGAGUGGAAUUCCUGGUGUAGCGGUGAAAUGCGCAGAUAUCAGGAAGAACACCAAUGGCGAAGGCAGCUCACUGGGGGUCUUCUGACGCUGAGGAGCGAAAGCCAGGGGAGCGAACGGG